CCUACGGGGGGCUGCAGUGGGGAAUAUUGGACAAUGGGCGAAAGCCUGAUCCAGCCAUGCCGCGUGUGUGAAGAAGGCCUUCGGGUUGUAAAGCACUUUCAGUGGGGAAGAAAGCCUUGGGGCUAAUACCCUCGAGGAAGGACAUCACCCACAGAAGAAGCACCGGCUAACUCCGUGCCAGCAGCCGCGGUAAUACGGAGGGUGCGAGCGUUAAUCGGAAUUACUGGGCGUAAAGCGCGCGUAGGCGGUCUGAUAAGCCGGUUGUGAAAGCCCCGGGCUCAACCUGGGAACGGCAUCCGGAACUGUCAGGCUAGAGUGCAGGAGAGGAAGGUAGAAUUCCCGGUGUAGCGGUGAAAUGCGUAGAGAUCGGGAGGAAUACCAGUGGCGAAGGCGGCCUUCUGGACUGACACUGACGCUGAGGUGCGAAAGCGUGGGUAGCAAACAGGAUUAGAUACCCGAGUAGU
rnacentral:rRNA from 1 species